CAGCAGCCGCGGUAAUACGUAGGGUGCGAGCGUUAAUCGGAAUUACUGGGCGUAAAGCGUGCGCAGGCGGUUCGCCAAGUCAGAUGUGAAAUCCCCGGGCUUAACCUGGGAACUGCGUUUGAAACUACAAGGCUAGAGUGUAGCAGAGGGGGGUGGAAUUCCACGUGUAGCAGUGAAAUGCGUAGAGAUGUGGAGGAACACCGAUGGCGAAGGCAGCCCCCUGGGUUAACACUGACGCUCAGGCACGAAAGCGUGGGGAGCAAACAGGAUUAGAUACCCUGGUAGUCCACGCCCUAAACUAUGUCAACUAGUUGUCGGGCCUUAACGGGCUUGGUAACGUAGCUAACGCGUGAAGUUGACCGCCUGGGGAGUACGGUCGCAAGAUUAAAACUCAAAGGAAUUGACGG
rnacentral:rRNA from 1 species